rnacentral:rRNA from 1 species
UGGGGAAUAUUGCACAAUGGGGGAAACCCUGAUGCAGCGACGUCGCGUGAGCGAAGAAGGCCUUCGGGUCGUAAAGCUCUUUUAUGAGGGAAGAUAAUGACGGUACCAUAAGAAUAAGGUCCGGCUAAAUACGUGCCAGCAGCCGCGGUAAUACGUAUGGACCGAGCGUUGUCCGGAAUCAUUGGGCGUAAAGGGUACGUAGGCGGCCCAGUAAGUUAGAAGUGAAAUAAUAUAGCUCAACUAUAUAAAGCUUUUAAAACUGCUAGGCUUGAGAGAUGGAAGGGAAAGUGGAAUUCCUAGUGUAGCGGUGAAAUGCGCAGAUAUUAGGAAGAAUACCGGUGGCGAAGGCGACUUUCUGGUCAUCAUCUGACGCUGAGGUACGAAAGCGUGGGUAGCAAACAGG